GACGAACGCUGGCGGCGUGCUUAACACAUGCAAGUCGAACGGAAAGGCCCUGCUUUUGUGGGGUGCUCGAGUGGCGAACGGGUGAGUAACACGUGAGUAACCUGCCCUUGACUUUGGGAUAACUUCAGGAAACUGGGGCUAAUACCGGAUAGGAGCUCCUGCUGCAUGGUGGGGGUUGGAAAGUUUCGGCGGUUGGGGAUGGACUCGCGGCUUAUCAGCUUGUUGGUGGGGUAGUGGCUUACCAAGGCUUUGACGGGUAGCCGGCCUGAGAGGGUGACCGGCCACAUUGGGACUGAGAUACGACCCAGACUCCUACAGGAGGCAGCAGUGUAGAAUAUUACACAAUGGGCGGAAGCCUGAUGCAGCAACGCCGCGUGCGGGAUGACGGCCUUCGGGUUGUAAACCGCUUUCGCCUGUGACGAAGCGUGAGUGACGGUAAUGGGUAAAGAAGCACCGGCUAACUACGUG
rnacentral:rRNA from 1 species